GACGAACGCUGGCGGCGUGCUUAACACAUGCAAGUCGAACGGAAAGGCCCUGCUUUUGUGGGGUGCUCGAGUGGCGAACGGGUGAGUAACACGUGAGUAACCUGCCCUUGACUUUGGGAUAACUUCAGGAAACUGGGGCUCAUACCGGAUAGGAGCUCCUGCUGCAUGGUGGGGGUUGGAAAGUUUCGGCGGUUGGGGCUGGACUCGCGGCUUAUCAGCUUGUUGGUGGGGUAGUGGCUUACCAAGGCUUUGACGGGUAGCCGGCCUGAGAGGGUGACCGGCGACAUUGGGACUGAGAGACGGCCCAGACGCCUACGGGAGGCAGCAGUGGGGAAUAUUGCAGAAUGGGCGGAAGCCUGAUGCAGCAACGCCGCGUGCGGGAUGACGGCCUUCGGGUUGUAAACCGCUGUCGCCGGUGACGAAGCGUGAGUGACGGUAAUGGGUAAAGAAGCACCGGCUAACUACGUG
rnacentral:rRNA from 1 species